GACGAACGCUGGCGGCGUGCCUAAUACAUGCAAGUUGAGCGCUGAAGGUUGGUACUUGUACCCACUGGAUGAGCAGCGAACGGGUGAGUAACGCGUGGGGAAUCUGCCUUUGAGCGGGGGACAACAUUUGGAAACGAAUGCUAAUACCGCAUAAAACCUUUAAACACAAGUUUUAAGUUUGAAAGAUGCAAUUGCCUCACUCAAAGAUGAUCCCGCGUUGUAUUAGCUAGUUGGUGAGGUAAAGGCUCACCAAGGCGAUGAUACAUAGCCGACCUGAGAGGGUGAUCGGCCACAUUGGGAAUGAGACACGGCCCAAACUCCUACGGGAGGCAGCAGUAGGGAAACUUCGGCAAUGGACGAAAGUCUGACCGAGCAACGCCGCGUGAGUGAAGAAGGGUUUCGGAUCGUAAAACUCUGUUGGUAGAGAAGAACGUUGGUGAGAGUGGAAAGCUCAUCAAGUGACGGUAACUACCCAGAAAGGGACGGCUAACUACGUG
rnacentral:rRNA from 1 species